GGGCCCGCACAAGCGGUGGAGUAUGUGGUUUAAUUCGAUGCAACGCGAAGAACCUUACCAGGGUUUGACAUCCUGCGAAUCUCUUGGAAACGAGAGAGUGCCUUCGGGAACGCAGUGACAGGUGGUGCAUGGCUGUCGUCAGCUCGUGUCGUGAGAUGUUGGGUUAAGUCCCGCAACGAGCGCAACCCACGUCUUUAGUUGCCAGCAUUUAGUUGGGCACUCUAGAGAGACUGCCGGUGAUAAACCGGAGAAGGUGUGGAUGACGUCAAGUCAUCAUGCCCCUUACAUCUGGGCUACACACGUACUACAAUGCUACGGACAAAGGGCAGCAAGUUCGCGAGGACAAGCAAAUCCCAAAAAGCCGCUCUC
rnacentral:rRNA from 1 species